rnacentral:misc_RNA from 1 species
AGCAGCCGCGGUAAUUCCAGCUCCAAUAGCGUAUAUUAAAGUUGUUGCAGUUAAAAGCUCGUAGUUGAAUUUCGGGGUCAGCAAGUUGGUCGUGCCACUGGUAUGCACUGGCUUUGCUGAUUCCUCCUUCUUGAAGAACUGUAAUGCUAUUAAUUUAGUGUUGCAGGGAAACAGGACUGUUACUUUGAAAAAUUAGAGUGUUUAAAGCAGGCUAACGCUUGAAUACAUUAGCAUGGAAUGAUGAAAUAGGACGUUUGAUCCUAUUUUGUUGGUUUCUAGGAUUGACGUAAUGAUUAAUAGGGAUAGUUGGGGGCAUUAGUAUUCAAUUGUCAGAGGUGAAAUUCUUGGAUUUAUUGAAGACUAACUACUGCGAAAGCAUUUGCCAAGGAUGUUUUCAUUAAUCAAGAACGAAAGUUAGGGGAUCGAAGACGAUCAGAUACCGUCGUAGUCUUAACCAUAAACUAUGCCGACUAGGGAUCGGAUGAUGUUAAUUUUUAAUGA